AUGCUUGUAAAUGGUUUCCAUCUUGAUGAGCACCUCGAGGAUGAUAUUGUUUGGAAGCACUCGAAUGACGGGAUCUACACGGCGGCCACCGUGUAUAAGGCCCAAUUCCUUGGAUUAACUCUUCCCCCAUGGACCGCAUGGUUUGGAAAGUUUGGGCUCCCCCCAAGGUCAAUUUUUUUGCAUGGUUGGCUCUUCAAGAUAGGAUUUGGACCGCCGAUCGCCUGGAGAGACGGGGUUGAGCAAAUUGUGGCCUUUGCCCUCUCUGCAGAAGGGGCAACAAACGGGUGCACACCUCUUCUUUAA
rnacentral:rRNA from 1 species